AAACAGCAAAACUUAUGACUAAAAAGAGCCCUCAUAGUCAGAUAAUAAAUUAAAACAAAUACAACAAUGGAGCUAUUCACGACUAUCCUUUUACAAAGUAAAUUUCUCCUGUUGGUAAAAUAAAAUAUAUUUCCACCGUGUGAAUCUAUACUAUCUUUUGCUGUACAUGUCAUAUGCUACAUGGUUCAAACAACAGCCAUUGACAAAAGCCAGACCGUCAUAUUCGCAAGCAUCUUUCAGCUCAUUUAACCGCGGAAAUAUGAGUUUUGACAUGUCCCUACAGUUUCUUGGUCUUCGAAUAAAAGUAUAUGAGCAGACACAAACGUUGAUUUCUCCUUUCUUAGCUCAGGCUCGUAAAAGGUGUUUGUCACAUGUCAAUAUCUUGUAACUUGCAUGAGGACCUUCAGAUGUGUCUCUCAGAGUUACAUGCCAACCCAUAUUUAGCCGGACCUCAUAUUGGCAAGCAUCUUUCAGCUCAUUUUAGCCGCCGAAAUAUGAAUUAUGACAUGUCCCGGCAGUUUCUUGGUCUUCGAAUAAAAGUACAUGAGCAGACACAAACGUAGAUUUCUUCGUUCUUACCUCAGGCUCGUAAAAGGUGUUUGUCACAUGUCAAUAUCUUGUAACUUGCAUGAGGACC
rnacentral:lncRNA from 1 species